rfam:Oryza sativa (indica cultivar-group) chromosome 1, whole genome shotgun sequence.
AAUAAGUACAGUUUUACACUGUUCACGUCAAACGUUUGAUCGCUCGUCUUAUUUGAAUUUUUUUCUAUGAUUAGUAUUUUUGUUGUUAGUAGAUGAUAAAAUAUAAAUAGUAUUUUAUGUGUGACUAACUUUUUUUAAAUAUUUUCAUAAAUUUUUCAAAUAAUACGGAUGGUCAAACCUUCGACACGGAUUCCCACGGCUGCACUUAUU